GAAGGACAACAGUCUCUACAGCACUUCACCAAUCUGGGCUUUAUGGGAGAGUGGCCAGACAGAAGCCACUCCUGAAGUUUGUAAAAAGGCCUGUGAAAGACUAAGAGUAUAGGGGAACAUAUUCUGUGGUCUGAUGAGACAAAAAUUGAACUCUUUGGCCUAAAUGCAAAGUGCUAUAUCUGGAGAAAACCAGGAACAGCUCAUCACCCAUUUAACACCCUCCCUAUCGUGAAGCAUGGUGGUGGCAGCAUCAUGCUAUGGGGAUGCUUAAUUUAAUGUAAUGUUGAGCUAAAUUUAAAAAUAAAAAAAACAUGAUUACAGAGGUUUAAAAAGGAACAGAAAGGAACGAUAUAAAACAGUACUUUUUGGGGUUUUGACCUGGUUCAGAACUUUAUUUUGCUGGUCGUAACUGUGGAACGGAUUUUAAAAAAUGGUUCUAUUCAGAACUAAAUUAUUGGAAAAUAAUUUUGGUUCCAACCACUGGUUCCCACCCCUCUGCUUCUAAAUUUACACACAGGGACAAAAGCCUUGUUAAUAAUUAAGAGCUUGUUUGUGGGUUUUUGAAACAUGAGGCCUCCUCUUUGCUGUGUUCCGUGUGUGUAGUGGAGGUUCAUAGGGAGCAGUGAGCUCAGUCGGUGAUGUCAGAAGUGGGCAGGUCUGUUUUGUAUUGGCUGUAAUGUAACUGUCCGUACCCUAUUCAGCUUCACUGUCUCAGAAGCUAUACGAAGGUGGCAUGUCUGCACAGUGGCUCAAAGUUACCCUCCCACCUGAACCACAGCACUUUGAACAGAUAGAGCAGUCUCUUCAUCUCUCCAUCUCAGUCCAUGGCAACUGUAGUGCCUGAAGCAAGCAUCUUCUCCUCCUCCACCACCUAGCUCUCCGGCCAAGUCAAACAGGAGAUGUCUGCCUUCCUGCUUUCGCCACAGACGUAAUACUACUAACAUAAAGAGAUUUGGAUGAUAAUGGAUCCCAAAAAGCCCACCCCCUGCCCUUC
rnacentral:lncRNA from 8 species